GAGAUUCUUUGGGGGUUUUGCUUGUCUCAGUCCCAUCAACAUUCCCACAAAAGGAAUCGAGCCAAAUCGAAGUUGGAUAACUCCGCAGGUGUGGAUUAGCGGGAAUUGACGGACCGUUCAGAGGACUUGAAGUUAUUUAUCUCCAGCUUGUGUGAGGAUUUUGUGUGACUAUCUUGCGAGGUUGUUGUGAGGAUUAUACAUUUCCAUUUGUUAUAAUGUUGAAUUAUAAUUUGGUUUGUAAUAAUCGGUUUGACU